rnacentral:rRNA from 1 species
AGGACGAACGCUGGCGGCGUGCUUAACACAUGCAAGUCGAACGGAAAGGCCCUUUCGGGGGUACUCGAGUGGCGAACGGGUGAGUAACACGUGGGUGAUCUGCCCUGCACUUCGGGAUAAGCCUGGGAAACUGGGUCUAAUACCGGAUAGGACUACGGCCUGCAUGGGUUGUGGUGGAAAGCUUUUGCGGUGUGGGAUGGGCCCGCGGCCUAUCAGCUUGUUGGUGAGGUUAUGGCUUACCAAGGCGACGACGGGUAGCCGGCCUGAGAGGGUGACCGGCCACACUGGGACUGAGAUACGGCCCAGACUCCUACGGGAGGCAGCAGUGGGGAAUAUUGCACAAUGGGCGCAAGCCUGAUGCAGCGACGCCGCGUGAGGGAUGGACGGCCUUCGGGUUGUAAACCUCUUUCAGUAGGGACGAAGCGAAAGUGACGGUACCUGCAGAAGAAGGACCGGCCAACUACGUGCCAGCAGCCGC